UACGUAGGGGUGCAAGCGUUAAUCGGAAUUACUGGGCGUAAAGCGUGCGCAGGCGGUUUUGUAAGUUUUGUCGUGGAAAUCCCCGGGCUCAACCUGGGAAUGGCGAUGAAGACUGCAAGGCUAGAAUCUGGCAGGAGGGGGGUAGAAUUCCACGUGUAGCAGUGAAAUGCGUAGAUAUGCGGAGGAACACCGAUGGCGAAGGCAAUCCCCUGGACCUGUACUGACGCUCAUG
rnacentral:rRNA from 1 species